GGUAAAGCUACUAAGGGCGUACGGUGGAUGCCUUGGUACAUGGAGGCGAUGAAGGACGUGAUAAGCUGCGAUAAGCCUCGGGAAGGUGCAAACAACCUUAGAUCCGAGGAUUUCCGAAUGGGGCAACCUGUCUCGGGUUAUGCCGGGACACUCCCAGUUGAACACAUAGGCUGGGUUGAGCUAACGGGGCGAAUUGACACAUCUAAGUAACCCUAGGAAAAGAAAACAAUCGUGAUUUCCUCAGUAGCGGCGAGCGAACAGGAAAGAGCCAAAACUUCGAUCAUGUUAAAGUCCGUAGACGUUGUGAUUGGAGUGUUGUGAGGCAGUUCCGGAGUCUGUUACGGAAGAUUCGGGGAGUCAAAAAACCUGAUGUUAGUUGAACGGCAUGGAAAGGCCGGCCAUAGAAGGUGAUAGUCCUGUAAACAAAAACUGAUGGUCUCCCUGGGAACUGUUCUCGAGUAGCACGGUACACGUGAAAUUCCGUGUGAAACUGCCAGGACCAUCUGGCAAGGCUAAAUACUCCCAUGUAACCGAUAGUGAACUAGUACCGUGAGGGAAAGGUGAAAAGUACUCCUAACGGAGAGUGAAAUAGAACCUGAAACCGUAUGCCUACAAGCAGUCGGAGUUCCGAUUUAUCGGAAUGACGGCGUGCCUUUUGCAUAAUGAGCCAGCGAGUUGCUCGUAUGUUGCAAGGUUAAUCCCGUUAUGGGAGGAGCCGCAGCGAAAGCGAGUCUGAACAGGGCAAUUCAGUAACAUGCGGCAGACCCGAAGCCGAGUGAUCUAUCCAUGGCCAGGUUGAAGCGACAGUAACAUGUUGUGGAGGACCGAACCCACCAGGGUUGAAAACCUGGGGGAUGAGCUGUGGAUAGGGGUGAAAGGCCAAUCAAACUCGGCGAUUUCUGGUUCUCCCCGAAAUGCCUUUAGGGGCAGCGUCGUGGAAGUGCCUCGGGGGUAGAGCACUGGAUGGACUAGGGGCCCUACAAGGUUACCAAACCCAACCAAACUCCGAAUACCGAGGUUACGAUCCCCGGCAGUGAGGCCACGGGGGAUAAGCUUCGUGGCCGAGAGGGAAACAACCCAGACCAACAGCUAAGGUCCCAAAAUCUGAGUUAAGUGACUAAGGAUGUAAGAUUGCACAGACAGCUAGGAGGUUGGCUUAGAAGCAGCCAUCCUUUAAAGAAAGCGUAAUAGCUCACUAGUUAAGGAAUCUUGCGCCGAUAAUCUCCGGGACUGUUAAACUCAGUACCGAAGCUCUGGUCCCGGCACAUUUGUGUCGGGAGGUAGGGGAGCGUUCCAUCAACCUGUGAAGUCCUAGACGGGAGUCGGGAUGGAGGAAAUGGAAGUGAGUAUGCUGGCAUGAGUAGCGAUAAUUCCAGUGAAAUUCUGGGACACCAAAAGCCUAAGGUUUCCUGAGUAAAGUAACUCUGCUCAGGGUUAGUCGGUCCCUAAGCCGAGGCCGAAAGGCGUAGGCGAUGGAUAACAGGUGAAUAUUCCUGUACCACCCAAUCAUCGUUUGAACGAUGGGGGGACGCAGAAGUGAAAGAUCAGCCCGGUUUUGAUUGUCCGGGUUUAAGUGUGUAGGGAGUUCUGGCAGGCAAAUCCACCGGAACCAUCCUGAGACACGAAUAGGAGGGCCUAGCCCACAAACUGAUCCUAAUCAUGCUGCCAAGAAAAUCCUCUAAGUGAGAUUUUUGGGUGACCGUACCGUAAACGGACACACGUAGGCGAGAAGAGUAUUCUAAGGUGCUUGGGUUAAUCGUGGUAAAGGAACUCGGCAAAUUGGCCCCGUAACUUCGGGAGAAGGGGCGCCUCAAGUAGGUAAAGGCCUUCGCGGCUGGAGCCCAAAGAGGUCGCAGAAACCAGAGUCGGGCGACUGUUUACCAAAAACACAGGUCUCUGCUAAUCAGCAAUGAGAAGUAUAGGGACUGACACCUGCCCGGUGCUGGAAGGUUAAGGGGAGUUGUUAGCGCGCAAGCGCGAAGCAGUGAACCGAAGCCCCAGUAAACGGCGGCCGUAACUAUAACGGUCCUAAGGUAGCGAAAUUCCUUGUCGGGUAAGUUCCGACCCGCACGAAUGGUGUAACGACUUGACUACUGUCUCUACCACGAGCCCAGCGAAAUUGCAGUGUCGGUGAAGAUACCGGCUACCCGCGGCAGGACGGAAAGACCCCGUGAACCUUUACUACAUCCUGACAUUGGGUUUUGGUUAUGUAUGUGUAGGAUAGGUGGGAGGCUUUGAAGCUCGGACGCUAGUUCGGGUGGAGCCAACCUUGAAAUACCACCCUUAUAUUGCUGAAAUUCUAAUUCCGACCCUUGAAUCAGGGCGGGAAACAGUGUCAGGUGGGUAGUUUGACUGGGGCGGUCUCCUCCUAAAAAGUAACGGAGGAGCCCAAAGGUUCCCUCAGCACGGACGGUAAUCGUGCAAAGAGUGCAAAGGCAUAAGGGAGCUUAACUGCAAGGCCGACAGGCCGAGCAGGUGCGAAAGCAGGGCUUAGUGAUCCGGUGGUCCCGAAUGGAAGGGCCAUCGCUCAACGGAUAAAAGGUACUCCGGGGAUAACAGGCUUAUCGCCUCCGAGAGCUCAUAUCGACGAGGCGGUUUGGCACCUCGAUGUCGGCUCAUCACAUCCUGGGGCUGAAGAAGGUCCCAAGGGUUGGGCUGUUCGCCCAUUAAAGUGGUACGUGAGCUGGGUUUAGAACGUCGUAAGACAGUUCGGUCCCUAUCCGCCGUGGGCGCAGGAAACUUGAGGGAAGCUGUUCCUAGUACGAGAGGACCGGAACGGACGAACCUCUGGUGCACCAGUUGUCUCAUCAGAGGCACUGCUGGGUAGCUACGUUCGGCAGGGAUAAGCGCUGAAAGCAUAUAAGCACGAAGCCCUUCCCAAGAUAAGGUUUCCCUCCCCGACAUUUGUGUCGGGGGUAAAGGCCUCCCGUAGACUACGGGUUUGAUAGGUCACAGGUGUAAGUCCGGUAACGGAUUUAGCCGAGUGAUACUAAUUGGCCGUCAGGCUUUAUCGA
rnacentral:rRNA from 1 species